rnacentral:tRNA from 1 species
GGCCCCAUCGUCUAGCGGCCCAGGACGCCGCCCUCUCAAGGCGGUAGCACGGGUUCAAAUCCCGUUGGGGCUA